UACGUAGGGUGCAAGCGUUGUCCGGAAUUAUUGGGCGUAAAGAGCUCGUAGGCGGUUCGUUACGUCUGCCGUGAAAACCCGGGGCUCAACCCCGGGCCUGCGGUGGAUACGGGCGGACUAGAGUUCGGUAGGGGAGACUGGAAUUCCUGGUGUAGCGGUGGAAUGCGCAGAUAUCAGGAGGAACACCGAUGGCGAAGGCAGGUCUCUGGGCCGAUACUGACGCUGAGGAGCGAAAGCGUGGGGAGCGAACAGG
rnacentral:rRNA from 1 species